CUGAACCAGCCAAGUAGCGUGAAGGAUGACUGCCCUAUGGGUUGUAAACUUCUUUUAUACGGGAAUAAAGUGAGGCACGUGUGCCUUUUUGUAUGUACCGUAUGAAUAAGGAUCGGCCAACUCCGUGCCAGCAGCCGCGGUAAUACGGAGGAUCCGAGCGUUAUCCGGAUUUAUUGGGUUUAAAGGGAGCGUAGAUGGAUGUUUAAGUCAGUUGUGAAAGUUUGCGG
rnacentral:rRNA from 1 species